rnacentral:rRNA from 1 species
AUGGAGCCAAUGCAAGGAAGAGUGCAGAUGUGGAUGCUCCUAUGGCUCGCCUUCUGCUUGCUCGAGCAUUCGCAUUCGCUGGUGUUUCCGUUCCCCAUGCCGUUCUUCGCCCCUUCCUACACCAACCAGCAAGAUGUUGAUGCUGUGAACGAGCUGUACGCGUCACUGGGCUCGCCGGACCUUCGUGGUUGGGCUGCUUCGGGAGGAGACCCUUGCGAGGACGCAUGGCAAGGGGUGCAGUGCCUCGGCCCCAACAUAACCGAAAUAGUACUCAAAGGCGUGGGUCUAGAAGGGAAGCUGAGCGAGGCACUCGGAGAGCUCACUGCUAUUACAAGAUUGGACCUGUCAUCAAAUAACCUCGCCGGUGAGCUGCCGCAGUCAAUGGCAAUGCUCAAAUCCCUUUCGGCACUGCAUGUGCACAACAACAGGCUAACCGGGACACUCGAUGUGCUGCGUGAUCUUCCACUGAAAGACCUGAACGUGGAGAACAAUCAAUUUGCAGGAUCCAUCCCAAAGAAGAUGCUCAGCAUCCCAAAAUUUCUAAGAAACGGCAACCAUUUCACCCUUCCGAUCCCCGGUUCCUCUCCGACUCCGGCAAUGUCGUCUCCUUCUCCAGCUGCGCAUCCUCACAUUACUGUAAUUCCCACAGUUACUCCACAGGACACUACACACGGCGGGGUCUUCAGAGGCACGCCAACAAGGUUUCUCCGGCAAAGGCUGCCGGAUUCAGCAUUCUUGCUGCCAGUUUAUUAA